rnacentral:rRNA from 1 species
UACGAAGGGUGCAAGCGUUACUCGGAAUUACUGGGCGUAAAGCGUGCGUAGGUGGUGAGUUAAGUCUGAUGUGAAAUCCCCGGGCUCAACCUGGGAAUGGCAUUGGAUACUGGCUCGCUAGAGUGCGGUAGAGGGUGGUGGAAUUCCCGGUGUAGCAGUGAAAUGCGUAGAGAUCGGGAGGAACCUCUGUGGCGAAGGCGGCCACCUGGACCAACACUGACACUGAGGCACGAAAGCGUGGGGAGCAAACAGG